CCCUUAGAUGUCCUGGGCCGCACGCGCGCUACACUGAGUGUCUGAGAUACGAGUCUGCCUGGUCCGGCAAGGUCUAGGUAAUCGCUAAAAGACACAUCAUGCUUGGGAUAGAUUAUUGCAAAUAUUAAUCUUGAACGAGGAAUUCCUAGUAAGCGCAAGUCAACAGCUUGCGUUGAUUACGUCCCUGCCCUUUGUACACACCGCCCGUCGCUACUACUGAUUGGAUGUUUAAGCGAGGUUCUCGAACUGCUAGCGACUUAGCUUCGGUGAGGUCGCCGUGUGGGAAGUGAACCUAGCUUUGGUGUCUAGAGGAAGUAAAAGUCGUAACA
rnacentral:rRNA from 1 species